UCAAGUGACUAAGUGUAUGUGGUGGAUGCCUUGGCGAUCACAGGCGAUGAAGGACGUGACAGCCUGCGAAAAGCUGCGGGGAGUUGGCAAAUAAACUUUGAUCCGCAGAUGUCCGAAUGGGGGAACCCACCUCUUUUGAGGUAUCUCUAGCUGAAUACAUAGGCUAGGGAGGCGAACGGAGUGAACUGAAACAUCUAAGUAACUCCAGGAAAAGAAAUCAACCGAGAUUCCGAAAGUAGCGGCGAGCGAAAUUGGAUCAGCCUAAUGCUCGAUAACAACGGCUAAUACUGGCACAGUCUGGAAAGUCUGGCUAUAGAGGGUGAUAGCCCCGUACAGGAAAUUAGCGUUGUGGUACUAAGUGCAUGAAAAGUAGGGCGGGACACGUGACAUCCUGUCCGAAGAUGGGGGGACCAUCCUCCAAGGCUAAAUACUCGUGAUCGACCGAUAGCGUACCAGUACUGUGAAGGAAAGGCGAAAAGAACCCCGGGAGGGGAGUGAAAUAGAACCUGAAACCGCAUACAUACAAACAGUAGGAGCCUCGUUAAGGGGUGACUGCGUACCUUUUGCAUAAUGGGUCAGCGACUUACGUUUAAUGGCAAGCUUAACCGAUUAGGGGAGGCGUAGCGAAAGCGAGUUCGAAUAGAGCGAUUUGAGUCGUUAGGCGUAGACCCGAAACCAGAUGAUCUAUCCAUGGUCAGGUUGAAGAUGUGGUAACACACAUUGGAGGACCGAACCGACUAGUGUUGCAAAAUUAGCGGAUGAACUGUGGAUAGGGGUGAAAGGCUAAACAAAUCUGGAGAUAGCUGGUUCUCCCCGAAAACUAUUGAGGUAGUGCCUCGUGUAUAACUCCAGGGGGUAGAGCACUGUUAUGGCUAGGGGGACAUGGCGUCUUACCAAACCAUGGCAAACUCCGAAUACUUGGAAGUUGAGCACGGGAGACAGAGCACCGGGUGCUAACGUCCGGACUCAAGAGGGAAACAACCCAGACCGCCGGCUAAGGUCCCUAAUAUUGUCUAAGUGGAAAACGAAGUGGAAAGGCUAAAACAGUCAGGAAGUUGGCUUAGAAGCAGCCAUCCUUUAAAGAAAGCGUAAUAGCUCACUGAUCGAGUCUUUCUGCGCGGAAGAUGUAACGGGGCUAAGACAAUAACCGAAGCCGCGGAUUCACACGUAAGUGUGAGUGGUAGGGGAGCGUUCUGUAAGCCUGCGAAGGUGGCUUGUAAAGGCUGCUGGAGGUAUCAGAAGUGCGAAUGCUGACAUGAGUAACGUUAAAGUGGGUGAAAAGCCCACUCGCCGUAAGCCCAAGGUUUCCUGCUCUACGUUCAUCGGAGCAGGGUGAGUCGGCCCCUAAGGUGAGGCUGAUAAGCGUAACUGAUGGGAACAAGGUUAAUAUUCCUUGACCGCCGUUGAGUGCGAAGGGGGGACGGAGUAUUGAAGAUCAUCCGGGUGUUGGAUAUCCCGGUUUGCGCGCGUAGGAGGCUGAUAGGCAAAUCCGUCAGCGAAUCUCCGAGGCAAAGCAUCGAGACCUUUUAGGUCGAAGUGAUUGGAUGUGCUCCCAGGAAAAGCCUCUAAGCUCCAGCUCAACGGGACCGUACCGCAAACCGACACUGGUGGGCGAGCUGAAUAUGCUCAGGCGCUUGAGAGAACUCAGGAGAAGGAACUCGGCAAAUUGACACCGUAACUUCGGGAUAAGGUGUGCCUUUGUAGUGUGAAGGAAGAAACAUCCGGAGCAUGAAGAGGUCUCAGAGAAUUGGUGGCUGCGACUGUUUACUAAAAACACAGCACUCUGCAAAGACGAAAGUCGACGUAUAGGGUGUGAUGCCUGCCCGGUGCUGGAAGAUUAAUUGAUGGGGUGCAAGCUCCUGAUCGAAGUCCCAGUAAACGGCGGCCGUAACUAUAACGGUCCUAAGGUAGCGAAAUUCCUUGUCGGGCAAGUUCCGACCUGCACGA
rnacentral:rRNA from 1 species